rnacentral:rRNA from 1 species
UACGGGGGGGGCAAGCGUUGUUCGGAAUUACUGGGCGUAAAGGGCUCGUAGGCGGCCAACUAAGUCAGACGUGAAAUCCCCAGGCUUAACCUGGGAACUGCGUCUGAUACUGGAUGGCUUGAAUUCGGGAGAGGGAUGCAGAAUUCCAGGUGUAGCGGUGAAAUGCGUAGAUAUCGGGAGGAACACCUGUGGCGAAAGCGGCUCACUGGACCACAACUGACGCUGAUGCGCGAAGGCGUGGGGAGCGAACGGG